CCAGGAGUUAAGAAGGGGAGGCAUUGAGAGACUCGGACUGAAAUAGAGCCACAGGUAAAUCAUUUCCGGUUUUGGAAGCACUAGUGUUGCUGGGUCAUUUGAGCAUUUGCUAACUGGAGAGGUCAUCCUGGAAUAGAUCCAAACACCUGGAACAGGUGCUGUGGGCUCCUCAAAUGAAUCCUGUUUGCAUUCACAUCCCUUAUUUCUAUACUAAGGGUGGGCUAGAGUUUGAGAUUGUAAAGUAAUGCCAGGUGGGGACAUUCACCACUAUAGUAACAGGGACUGCAGAAAAUAAUGAGAGCUUUCAAUUAUGACAUAGGAAUGAAGGAUGAAAAGUCCAGGAAGAUUUAUCUGGAAUGGAUGAAGUUUCACAGGUGACACUGCUGUUUUAAAAUAUUUGAAGGAUUUUAUAUGUAAGAGAAGGGAUUUUACUUUUUCUACAUGGUCAUAAAGUAUAAAUUAUACAAACCUAUAUGAAAAAUCGACUUGGUUUGCAAUAAA